AAAAUAUACACUUGCUAGAUAAUAAAGAACUAUCGCGAUAAAAAAACAUUAGUAGAGCUUCAAAAUGAGAAAGUAUAAAUGUUCAAUGAUUAAACUUUUCUACUGCUGUUCACAUCAUGAUUUGUUGUGAUUAAUGUAUGUGGAUGAGGACAUUAUAGGAAAAGGAAAUCGUGAGAUUUAAUUAUAUAAUGUAAUUUUAGUGAUUUGCCUGUCAAUGUUUUUCUGUUCCAGGAAUAAAAUUGAAAAGUAUUUUCUUAGAAAGCAUCAUUAGUCAAAUAUAUUUGAUCAAGAAUUUGAAGAUGUAUAUAAUAAGGUAGUCCUGGAGUUGCAAUUUUCCAACGUGUGAUUUUUGAGGACCACAUGUAAACCUAGUCCUCGAACAACAUGGUUAAAACUUCAGUGUUAGCUGAAACUAGUUUGUUGUUAUUUCAUUAGUUUACAGAUCAUCAUUAGUUUUAUUGCCCUCUUGCUCAGAUUAAUCUCAUGACAAUUUAUAAAAAUGAGAAAUUAAGAAAACGAGCAACAAACUUAACAGGACAGCAAAGAAAUAAAAAUGAUACUGCAAGUAACAUUGGAUAAUGACUACAAGCAAAACUAGGCUUGUAUGAAGCUAUAGUUAUGAACCAUAUGGAAAAAAGUCUGAUGCUUUUUUAAAAAAAUAAAAUUGCUUCAACAUCUUU